rnacentral:ribozyme from 1 species
AGCACGAUGCAUGUGUCAGAUAUGGAUGAAUUGAAAGAGGGAGGUAAGGCGAAAGUGAAGGCAGGUAGCAGACAGCAAAAAGCCAAAAAGGGCGCUUUCCACUUCGUGUUGGCCAUCGCGUUGUGCUUCCUUCCUUCUCUCUCUUCUCUCUUUUUUCCCUCUUUUUUCUCUUCUAUUCUCUCUCCU